GACUAAACUGCUUCUGGACCUGAAGUCUGUUCAACAAUCCCGUAAAAACUGCCUCUGAAAAACAGGUCGCGGCGGGCCAUGGAGACAGCGGCGGUCCGCCCGGGCAGACGGCGGCCGGCGGCCAUCCCCGUGUCGCCGCCCCGGGUGCCCACCCCUGUGCCCGCUGGGGAUGCCAGGACUUCGGCGCGGCACCACCCUCAGCAGCAGCAGCAACAACAACAACAACAACAACAGAAGCAACAGCUGCUGCAGCACCA